CAACCCUGAUGUUUUCUUCCGUAAAAACCUGCCGGGCAAACGGUCCACCUCCUCGACACCGCCGUCGGUAAAUAAGCCCCCUUUUUUCCCGUGAUCUACGCAACGUAAAUUGAAAUUUACGCAUCGUCUCGCCCACCGCCUGAUUCCGGCGGCCGGCCCAGCCACCCGUUCGUUCAGAUUUUUGGAAAAAACCCCUUAAACAUCCGAAUUCCGAAAAUGGAAGGGAAUUUGACGAGCCGAGGGUCUCAUCUCGAAUUUGUUACGCCGAAGGCCGAAUAACGUUUAUGAAAAAGAUGGUCUCGUAAAUUAACAACAACAAAUCACUAGGACAUUUGGGCUUCCAUUCGUUAAUUAUGGAUUUAGAUCUAACACCGACUAAUUCUAAAGUCAAUGAAAAAGUGGUCUAUUUUAAGAUUAGCUUCCGGCAACUAUCACUUUUUACUGUUUUACUGCCUCUAAUAGCUCUUGUCGUUUGUUUUACCGGAGCUUUUAUAUUCCAGCAAAGUGAAAUCCAUGAAACUCAUUGUAGGGUUUACAAUGUAAUUCCUUCUAUUAGUGCCAUUACUGGUAUCAGCCCUGAGCGAUACCUUUGGAGAUCUUCUAUAGCACUUCAUCUUGGGCCAAGAUUUUUAAUUGCCUCCGUUUACUAUAAUUAUUACACUAAACGUAUAAAAUCUCUGACCAAUUAUGAUGACCAGAUUAAAUGUUUCAAAUUGGUGACUGUCAGUUACUGGCUGAAUAUCAUAGAAAUAUCAGCACUGAUUGGUGUCACGUAUAUAUCCAAUCAAGAUAAUUACCCAAUUCAUGAGAAGAUAUUUAUCACCUUCAUGACUAGUUCAUUAGUGUAUAUGUUAAUAUCAUUAAUGGUAUUUAAACGUACUCACCAAAGUAUGACUAAGUCUCAACAGUUUUCAUAUAAUAUAAAGAAGGGACUUUUUGUUACAUCUAUAAUUUGUACCGCCGGACUUGUCAUCUUCUUUAUGAAGCACAGAUUUUUUUGUCAUGAUUUAGCAUUCUCCUGGUUUGCAUUGUGCGAAUAUAUUAUUGCAGCGGCAAACAUGGGAUAUCAUGUAACCGUAUUCUUGGAUUUUCCCCAGGAAUAUAUUAUGAUUGCUUCCCCGUCAAUCUCAACAUCAGAAAAAUCGGAUUAAUUUAAAUUUGUUCUCAUAAUUGAUAUUUUGAGUUGUUUAUAAUCUUCAUUGAUCAACUUGAAUAUGUUGGCUCUGUAACAAGGUCGAGAAGGAAAAAAGUCCACGAUAUUAAAUGUGUUUAACUUUGUAAUAUCAAUAAAAAAUUAUUUAAAAAAUAUUGCCAAGUCAUAGAUUUGUAAAGUCUAUAAUUUUUAAGAAAAUAAUUAUGUUCUUUGUCUUUCAUUCUUUGUAGUAAUCAAUAACUUAAAAAAGAUAAAAAAGACAGUGGUUUUUCUGGUAUUUGAAAUACUUCUCACCACAAUAUCUAAGAUUGCUCAAAAAUAUUUAAAUUUUUGCUUUUAGCAAAAGAAUGUGUAAAUAUUGAAAAGGUGUAUUUUUGUAUUUAUAGUGUAGGUGAAAAAGUUAUACAAUUAGUGGUUAAAUUGUGUGAAUAUGUUUUCAAACGAUAAAAAACAGGGGUUGUGACCAUUUGUCAACUAUUACCUCAUUUUGAUUGAACCAUUUUAUUGUAGAUGCACAUUAGACAAUUCGGUUACAAUGUUGGAAUUAUUUUUAAAAACCAAUUUUAGAUAUUUUUGAGCCAUCUUAAAAGUUAGGUGAUAAUUUUUACUCAUUUUUGGCAGCUUUUUUUUCAGUCAUUUCAAUAUUUACACAACAGUGAUCCAGAUGUUAAACAUGUUUGUUUUCAACAGGACGAAUAAACUCUAUUAUUAGGAGUAGCAGAAAGUUGAUUUCAAAUGUUUUAUUUAAGAUCCAAAAAAUGUAUGGUUUAAUUGGAAUUGAUAAAUUAAAUAAAAAAAUUGUCUGAAAAUGGUAAAAACGACUUGCAUUAUUCAAUGAAAUUUGUGAUUUUCUUUUUAUAGGAAUUUUCAAAUUAUACGCAUACUAAUUAACUUGCAUAACGAAGGCUCAUUUCAAAAUGUAUUAUCAGUUGACUUGGUCCGAUUAAAUGGUAAUUGUAUAUUUUUAAAUUAAUAAUUUUUCUAACGUUAUUACAUAAAGAUUUUUGAAAUUGGCCUAUUAUUGGGAGGAAGCGUUUCAAUCAUGUAGAAAUAAUGUGAUGAUUGCAUUGUCGAUUAAUAAUGUAUAGUAACAUCUACAAUUAUUCAUCUUGAUUGUAUACUAGUCGAAAUCUGCUCGGUCUUUGCUUUUGUUUUCUUAACAAAAUUGACACUUUUCAAAAAAGCUCGAGUGUUUUCUUGUAUAUUUUGUUUUAAUAGAAGUUUUUGUUGACUUAUUUUGCUUGUUUCUUUUUAUAAGAAUGAUAAAAGGUGACAAUUGUCUCUUAUUUAUUCACAGAUUUGUAUUUUAUUUGGAAAAACGUUUAAAAGGGGAAUCAAAAUUUGUGAACAGAAACUUAAUCAUAUCUUUAUAACAUUGGCUUGGUUUUUUUUAAACAAAUAGAUGCAUCACCCGGUUGUGUUUAUGCGGGCCAAUUAAGUAGGAUUUUACAAGCACAUAUUACAACUAGAACGUCUUUGUGGCGAUGUUUCACAUUGAGCCCUGUAGGAAAAACUAUCCAAGUCUAGCCGGGUAAUGUUAAGUUUUUGUGCAAAUGUAACCGCUUUACUAAUUUAGCGAAUGUAAAAUUUUUGUUAACAGAUGAAAACAUGAAACUUUUGUUAUUAAAAUUAAUUAUUUAUUGCGAUGUCAAGGGAAAAUGGACAUCACUGAAAUGGUUCAACAAAGGUUAUAACAAAUUGUUCCUAUAUCUUUCUAAACUUCUAAUUGUUUAGCCUAUUUUUAUUUUAUCUUGAACCAUUAACUUCCUAUUAGCCUGUAAGUGCCAGCUUCCGAGAAAAUGGUAAAAUAAAACACAAAAAAAGUGGAUGCUCUUCGUGUAGUUGCUUGCACACCUCACAUUUUACAAAUAUUUUCAACUCUGUUGAUAUAUUUCCAAUACCGACUUAUUAAACAGUUUGAUUUUGGAUUUAAAGUUAGUCUGUGAGUCGGUUAACGCAUGUUGAACUGGCACAGGGUCUGUCUACACUCGCCAGUUUUGCUGUUACAGUUCCUCACUGAAGAUGUAUAUCGAGUACAUAAAAACCUACGAGCAUAGGUCGACCCAUUGUCAGCAAUGCAACUCUGUACUUUGUAAAUAAAGAAUAAAAACAUUAUUUUCUAAAAUGUUUGGUCUGUAAGUGACAGUCGCUGUUUAUAUUAUUAUUAUAUUUUUCCUCUAGAUUUAGCUUUAGAUUCUCUGAAUCUUAAGAAUUUAAGAGGAUAAUAGAUCAAAUAAUAAUCCUUUUAGGCAUUAUGUUGUAGAAUAUUUAGAGGUUGUUCAAUUUACUUUGUUAUUUGUAAAAGAACGAUUGUUAAAACCAUAAAGAAAACUGUUAUUUUGAAAAACACAAAUUGCCAAUCCUUUGCCCGUCUAGGCUUUCAAGAGUUUUAUUUCCAGGUUUUCUUUGUGGCUUGCAUUUUACAUUUAUAAAUUUUAAAUAUGUAAAUAUAUUAAGCGCCCUGGAUAUUGCAAGUUUGAUAAACAUAAAUAAAUAAUAUUUUUUUAA